rnacentral:misc_RNA from 1 species
UGGUAUUUGAAUCCUAAUCAGAACUCAUUUUGACUACUUUGAUUCUCUCACAACUCAUUCAUUCAGUUAGACCCUCAUAUAUUUAAAUAAAAGAAAGUGUGAGCUCACAUAUUCUAUCUACCAAUGUAUCAAUUGUAUCGCGUGAUAACUUUAUUUUGUAUGUACUACGCUCAUUUGCUUUAUGCUGUAGACUUAUAGAUACUAUUAAAUUAGUAGUCUAAUGAUCAUAAACAGACCGAAAUAGGCUCCCCAUAAACGGUUCUGGGCCCUUAUGGGCCUUAGUACCAUUGACCGUGGCCAGUUUUGGGCCUGAACAGAUCUUAGGCCGGGCCUGAACCGACCCUAGGCCAGCCCUGUGUGACUGAAAUGCUGCUCUCGUUGAAGAAUCAAAUGUGCAGCUUGUACCAGAUUCUGCCAAUUCUUGCAAAUAAUUCAUCCAGGACUAGGAACACCCAAAUGAAGACUUGAAUGUAAGCUUCAAAACCGAGAAUUAGAACUGUAAAACCAAAUAGAUACUUCUAUUGAAUGAAAUAGAAUUUCUUUUUUAUCUCACAUGAUGCUCUACGUGAUAGCAAGCUCUGUCUAAUAUACAAAAAGAGCUGAUGAAUUGAACUGCAUUUGGACAUUCCUGAAACUGAAAUCACUCCCACAUUUUUUUUCACUGCAUAUUUUCCUAGUGUUCUCAUUUUUUUUACUUCAUAUUUACUUAUUUGAAAAAACAUGUACAACAGAGCCAAUCUUCACAUUUCUGCAGACCACACCUCACGAAGGAGUUCGUACCUUGCAUUUGUGACACCAUAACCUGUAUGUUCUGUGUGCUUUCCAUUUCCGUUUCCAUUUGAUACAAUAGAUGGAGAGGAUGGCAAUUUUUCAAUUAUGGAUGUAAGAGGAGAAUCCAGUUCUUCCAGUUCUUCAUCACUGGUAUAUCCUUUCCUCUGCACAGUAGAUACAUUUCUUGACAGCUGCGAUCUUGAUCCUACCUCUGCAACUUUUUCUGCUACAUCAGCAGAGGAAGGAGGUGUGUACACGACUGGGGCAGCUGUAUAAGGGAAGUUUCUUGCAGAUUCUCCUGACAAUCUCCACUCCACAAUGCUCUAAAACAAGCAAUGAACAGACAGAAUAGCCCUUUCUAUAAAUUCUACAAUUCUUUUGAGUAGCAAAAAUUUUCUUUAGGUCUUAUGUGCAAAUGUUGAUGACAUGUGGUUUGCAUAACAUUUUGCCAUUUAGAGGGAAGCAAAAUCAUACCUCUGCAUUCAAAGCCUCUAAUACAUCUCCAGGUACAGCAUCCGUACAGAACUCAUCUGGAGUAAAGUUGCAAAGAAUCCGCUUAACUAAUGAGAGAUCUAUUGAUGGGCACACCUCCAUUCUUAUUGAUCGGUCCAUGAGCAUGUCUUUUGGAAGCAUCAAAAGGUCACUCAAGUCGUUCAGAAGUUGGAAGGCUUUAGGUCCACCAUCUUGCCUCUCUUCAUUGUCGCAGCUGUGCUGAUCUUCUUUCAAGGAAUCGUCAGUGUCCAUGCCAAACAUAACAGAAAGCCAUCUGGACCAAGUACCAACAGAAUUUUUCAGUUGUGCACCAGAACCAAAGCUCAAGUCCCCAGCUGGAAUAGGCAGAACUUUUGCAUCUAAAAUAGGAUCUGACACAGGGUCAGUUGGGAUCUCAUGGGCUGACUCACGCAAUAUAGCAUUAAACAUUGCUACAUCUAGUCUGGCAACACACUGUUCCAUAACCAUUCGUGCUAUGAUGGGCAAGCAACCACACUCAUGGCCUCCUGCUCUAACGGGACAAAGCCGUUGAAAAGCAUCUCGAAAAGCAUUCUUCCAUAGGUUGACAGAAAAGCUGCCUUGCUGCUGAUCACCUAAGGCUGGUCCCAACAACCUUCCAAAGGAUUUAUUGGAGGAAAAAUUCCCACUUGGAGAUUGCAUAUGUGGAGUCAAAGCCUGCCACCAUACUGACUCAACUAUUCGAGAAAAUAUCCAUGAUUCAACUUUUUCUAAUGCAGCCGUGUAGGUUCCUGUCUCUUGCCAAUCAUCUACAAGCUGCAUAAAACCAUUAGCCUGUUUACUUCCAGAACUACCCUUCCAUUUAAGAGUCGUAGGCUUUCCUUCACUUUUCUUGGUGCCUCCAUUGGACUCGGCAAACCUUGCAAGUGGGCUUGAGUGACGUGAACUGCCAAAUGCCUGACAAAUGAUCUCCCUCAGCACAAUGGUGUUGGACAGCCAGAAGGUUAACCUAGGAACAUCGUUACCACAAGACUUAGCAAUCAAAACAAGUCCUGACACACUGUUUUUUGCAAUUGUGGCUCGCUUAUCUUGAGUCCAAUUCUUACAAGCAUGAAUGUAGAGUCUAGAAAGGCGUCGUGCAGGUGUAUGCACCUUAUGUCCUGAGCUCCCAUGCUCUGGGACUACAGAAUAUAAUGAAACUUCCAGAGCAGCAACUUCUCUGAGCUCCUCUUCAAGUUUCCCAAUUCUCAUUUCCAUCUCUUCAAUUCUUUGAUUUAAAGCUGCCUCAUCCUCAUGUUCACCAUUUUCUUCAGCAUCAACAGUUUCAUUGUCACUUGCUAUACUCUGAGUACCAUUUGAAGCCUCGUCCAAAACUUCUAUUUCUUUUAUGUCUUCAACAGGCUUAUCAUCAGAAGCUCCUUCAGAAGAGUCUGAAGGUUUAGUAGGAAGUUUCAUAUCUUUAGAAUUUUUAUCCAAAGAAUUUUUGCUAGUAACUCUAGAUGAUGCUUUAUUUGAUUUUGCAGGUUUCUUAGCAGUGCUAUUUGCUGCCUUGGUUUGAGAUUUACUAUUUCCACUAUUAGAUCUCACUCUAGAUCCACCAGAACUGUCUGAGGAAUCCUUAUUACUAAUACUUUUAGGUACUCUUGAAACUCUUUCUACUUUCUCAUCAUCAGCCGUCAAUGAAUCCCCCUGCAAUGAUACUGAAUCUUUUAUUGUCUCAGUAGCCGGUUCCUCUUCCUUCCCCUGCUUAGGUUCUUUUUCUAAAUCACUCAAACGAUCAUCUAAGAUCUCAUUGUUCACUUUUGCAAUCAUGGCAUUGGCUUUUGGAUCUUGAGGUGCCUCCUCAAACCUGUUGACAUCAUCCACAUAAUGUAUAACCAAGUUUUCAUAAACUUCAGAGGGCUCUGAGCCCGUGUUGGAAUCACUUACUAAAGUACUGGAGUCCGAUUUAGCAUGCAAAUGUUUGGAUUCAUUUUCUUUUCCACUCAAUGUUUGAUGUGGUUUGCGUUCUCUCUUUUCAGUUUUCCCAGAGCGCUUUGAUUGGCCAUUAUUUGGAGUUCUCCUCUUGUCUGUCUCUUUCAUUCUUCAGUUGUUUGACCUCUUCCAAAUACAAACAAAUGAAUAUGCAACUGCAGCUUUUUGCUCUGCUUCGAAGACAGUAAUGAAGCUUCACAAGUCUUCUUCGGGAUUAACACUUCUUUCUCUCUCUAAAUAAAUACAACGAAGUGGAAAUUAAGUCUUUCUCUCUCUAAAGAAGUGAA